rnacentral:lncRNA from 1 species
UUGCUUCCCCAAAUUGCCUGCCACCCACUCACACAUUCUAGAUUCUGAGAUCCAGAGAGAGGGAUUGGAGAAGAGAUGGGAGAGACGGAGUAGGCUGCUGCCAUGUCUUCGACGGCAGCGACGGUGACGAGAUGGAGAGAGGCAGAGUAGGAAGACCUAACGAGGACUGUAACAGUCCACACAAGAAUCGUGGAUGGCAAAUCUGUCGUGAGGUUUCUGCAAAAGCUGCAGCCGGUAGACUGGUAGAGGCGGCGGUGUCGCCGACUCCUCCGCCACGUCAUCCACAGUCGUGAAGAUUGGCACGAUAUCGCAACUUCUUUCCGGAGAUAUUGCCGGACCUUUUAGCAAAACAUGUAUGGCUUCUCUCGCACACCUCACUAUUCGGUUUCAGUUGGCUUUGGAGGUGGUCUUUGAACUCCAGUAAGAGCUAGGCGCAUAAAGUGAAAUUGAAAGAAAAUGUGCAUUGACUGAAAUGAAUGGGAUAUAUUGUUCAACUAGACUUAUGCGAACCAGUGCGGAAACAACAAAGAAGCCUGCAAUCUUCCAAGAAAAAUAUGUUGCACCAAAAGAUCUGAGUUGGAACCGCUGCAUGCAUCGGCAGAUUGACAACCGGGAAUGGUGAUAUAUGUUAAUUGGGGAUUUCCGACCAAUUAUGUCAAUUUUAUUAUUUAUGUUGAUAUAUGUUAAUCAGUUGUGUCGAUUAAUUUUAUUAGCAAAUCGAACGAUACUUAAUGAAACCCGCUGUGAAGCAGGUUAUUACCGAUUUUUUGAGUCUGAUUUGAUUUGAUCUAAGCCUUGUAAUUUUUUCCAUAGAUCGUGUUAUGUUAUCAAACUGAACGAUUUGAUUUAGCGUGCCGCAACGCGCGCGGGGUAUUAAACUAGUUUCAAUAGUA